UACGGAGGAUCCAAGCGUUAUCCGGAUUUAUUGGGCGUAAAGGGCGCGUAGGCGGCCACGCACGUCCGUUGUGAAAUCGCCCGGCUCAACUGGGCGGGGUCGGCGGAUACGGCGUGGCUGGAGCAAGCUAGGGGGCAAUGGAAUUCCCGGUGUAGUGGUGGAAUGCGUAGAGAUCAGGAGGAACACCGAUGGCGAAGGCAGCAUCCUGGCCGAGUACUGACGCUGAGGCGCGAAAGCGUGGGAGCGAACGGG
rnacentral:rRNA from 1 species